rnacentral:lncRNA from 10 species
CUCAUCUGAAGGCUGGACUGGAGAAGAAUCUACUUCCAAACUUAUGUGGUAGUUGGAAGAAUUUAGUUCCUCAAGGCUGCUAAACUGAUGGCCUGUGUUCCUUGCCUCUGGGAUGGUAGCUUGCUUCAACAAAGUGUGCAAGCAGAGAAGACAGAGAGAGUCCGCUAGCAAGAUAGAAGCCACAAUCUCUUGUAAUCUAUCAUUUUUGCUGUAUUCUACUGGUUAAAAAUAACUCAUUAGGUUAGCCUACUGGCUCUCAGGGGGAAGAGAUUAUACAAAGGCAUGAAUUUCUGGAGGAGGGAAUGAGGGCAAAGAACUCUGAAAAGUUUCUCUUCCACAAUCUGAAGAACUUCUAGAAAGUAGAAGGAAGCAAUAUUGCUUAGGGAUGGACAACUUGGC